CGCACGGGGAUCUGUAGCGUCUGGAAAGAUUUAUCGGUGAAGGAUGGACUCGCGGCCUAUCAGCUUGUUGGUGGGGUAACGGCCUACCAAGGCGACGACGGGUAGCCGGCCUGAGAGGGCGACCGGCCACACUGGGACUGAGACACGGCCCAGACUCCUACGGGAGGCAGCAGUGGGGAAUAUUGCACAAUGGGCGCAAGCCUGAUGCAGCGACGCCGCGUGCGGGAUGACGGCCUUCGGGUUGUAAACCGCUUUCAGCAGGGAAGAAGCGAGAGUGACGGUACCUGCAGAAGAAGCGCCGGCUAACUACGUGCCAGCAGCCGCGGUAAUACGUAGGGCGCAAGCGUUGUCCGGAAUUAUUGGGCGUAAAGAGCUCGUAGGCGGUUUGUCGCGUCUGCUGUGAAAACCUCAGGCUCAACCUGGGGCUUGCAGUGGGUACGGGCAGACUAGAGUGCGGUAGGGGUGACUGGAAUUCCUGGUGUAGCGGUGGAAUGCGCAGAUAUCAGGAGGAACACCGAUGGCGAAGGCAGGUCACUGGGCCGCAACUGACGCUGAGGAGCGAAAGCAUGGGGAGCGAACAGGAUUAGAUACCCUGGUAGUCCAUGCCGUAAACGUUGGGCACUAGGUGUGGGGUCCAUUCCACGGAUUCCGUGCCGCAGCAAACGCAUUAAGUGCCCCGCCUGGGGAGUACGGCCGCAAGGCUAAAACUCAAAGAAAUUGACGGGGGCCCGCACAAGCGGCGGAGCAUGCGGAUUAAUUCGAUGCAUCGCGAAGAACCUUACCAAGGCUUGACAUACACCGGAUACGUGCAGAGAUGUGCGCCCCGCAAGGUCGGUGUACAGGUGGUGCAUGGUUGUCGUCAGCUCGUGUCGGGAGAUGUUGGGUUAAGUCCCGCAACGAGCGCAACCCUCGUCUCAUGCUGCCAGCGGGUUAUGCCGGGGACUCAUGGGAGACUGCCGGGGUCAACUCGGAGGAAGGGGGGGAUGACGUCAAAUCAUCAUGCCCCUUAUGUCUUGGGCUUCAGCCAUGCUACAAUGGCCGGUACAAGGGCUGCGAUACCGCGAGGUGGAGCGAAAUCCAAAUAGCCGGUCU
rnacentral:rRNA from 1 species